UACGACACGAAAACUAAAAAAUAUAAAGCGGUAACCGAGGGCAACUGGCGGCCCCUGCAACGUACCACAAGCGAAUCUGAGGAGGCAGUGAGAGGAACCUGGGCUCACCGUCCUCUACCUGCUGUAGGAGACCAACGAACGUGCUUGUGCUCGUAAAAACUGCCGCCAUGGCCUCCGCUCUGAAUGUAGUGAGGCUCAGAUUAGCGAGGAAUAUUUCUCGUUCAAGAUUUCUUGGCAAAUAUCUAUACACCACAUCAGCUGAUCACAACAUUGUGACGUCACCCCUACCUGACGUCGACUGGCCAUCAGGAAAUUUUACUUCACUCAUACUGAACAAAGUUACGAAAUGGGGACAUCACACUGCUACGGAGUGCAGCGUGACGGGCAGGAAGUACACCUACUCCCAGCUGGUGGACGGGGCAUCCAGGUGGGCGGGCAUGUUGACCAAGAUGGGCAUGAAGAAAGGGGAUGUGUUGGCAGUCGUCAUGCCCAACUGCCCUGAAUACCCCAUCGUCGUCUUGGGCACUCUGAUGGCUGGCGUUGUUGUGUCUACAGUGAGUUCCAAUUAUACGGCAGGAGAAAUACAUCGGCAGCUGUUAAACUGUGACGCCAAGAUGCUAAUAUACGACCCUGUCUUGGAGACCAGCGUGGACGGCGCCCUUGCACUGCUCCAGCGACCUCUUCUCGUCGUCACCAACGGUCCUUCCGCUCGCUCCGGGGCCCUCAACCUCCGCCAUGUUUUUGAGGACACCAACAUCGCCUUCAAUGAUCCGGUUGAGCUCUCUGGGGAGGAACUUGCCAUGAUGCCAUACUCCAGCGGAACCACAGGGCCUCCGAAGGGCGUCGCCAUCAGCCACAACGCCUUCGCCUCCAACAUAGUCAUGUAUUCGGUGCCGGCCAGCCUCCCUGUAAAGGAGGCAACAGCUACAAGCCAAGGGGCCUUCAUGUGCCUCCUACCAUGCUACCACAUCACCGGGAUCCUGCUCAUCAGUCUCAUAGGACUCACUAAGGGAAUCAAAGUAGUUACUGUACCCAAGUUUGACCCAAAUACAUUCGUCAGCACCAUCAGCUCACACAAGAUGAGCACCUUGCACCUGGUUCCUCCGCUUCUCAACUUCUUGCUGCAUUCCCCGUCCGUCACUGCAGAGAGCAUGGCCCAUCUGGAACACAUCGUGAUCGGAGCUGCGCCUGUGUCUCCGUCGGCAGCUCAGAGGUUCAAAGAUAAACUGAAGAAACCAAUAUUUUUCCAAGAAGGGUUUGGAAUGACUGAGGCACUGCUCACUCACAUGGUCCCAGUGGGUGUGGAUGAAGUAGGAACAUCCGGUGCUCUGUUGCCAAAUGUGAAGGCGAGGGUGGUGGACACUGUCACUGGGAAAGACCUGAAGGCACACGAGGAUGGAGAAAUGUGGCUCAAGACGCCUUCGAUAAUGCAAGGUUAUUUCAAAAACCCUACUGCCACUGCUGAGACGAUCGAUGCUGAUGGCUGGCUUCACACAGGAGACAUUGGUCACUAUGACGAAAGGGGCUUUUUCAAGAUCGUUGACCGCACAAAGGAACUCAUCAAGGUUAAGGGUCUGCAGGUCUCACCGUCCGAGUUGGAGGACCUGCUUCGUCAGUGUCCAGCUGUGGUAGACGUGGGCGUAGUAGGCGUGCCAGACGACCGGCUGGGAGAAGCACCACGGGCCUACGUCGUCACUUCCAAGAUGGUUUCGGAGGAGUUCAUCCACGGGUUCUUGGAAGACAAGGUGGCUCCUUACAAGAAGCUCGCCGGCGGAGUGCACUUCGUCAAGGAGCUGCCGAAGAACGCAACGGGGAAGCUGCUUCGUCGGGAACUGAAGAAGAUGGUCUCAGAGGACAGUGCUUAGGAAAUGGCUGAGGUCUGCGUGGCGUUUUAAAAAUGAUGUUUUGGUUGUGCUGUGAAUGCAGGCCAGGACGUGUGACCUGUAAUGAAUUAUCGGCUAUAGAGACUCAGUAGGACCAAGUACACAGGUACCUUGUCAACUUCCUGACUCGGCUGACCGCAACAAAUUAUUUACCACACUUGGAACGUCUGACAA
rnacentral:misc_RNA from 1 species